AGUGAAGAAUGGACAGCCACGUAGAACUGCUAUUGGGGGAAACAGGAAUAAUCAAAUGGAAAUAGACUGAGUCAGGAAACCUAUCAAGCUCUGUCAACUCAGCUUCUUCAUGGCCUCUCAUUUGGAACAUUUCAUUCUCCAAGGAAGUAUGGAUUUCUGAAGGUCUUGGUUGAAAAAACAAAACUCAGAGGAACUUGGGUACAGCCAUAAAACUACAUAUCUACCACCUGUUGACAGCUGAAUUCUACCUGAAAGUGCUUCUAAAAGGGACUCAGAGCAUGAUAAGUAAGCAGGAUGCUUUGAAAUACCAAACUGAAUAAUCGUAAGUAGCAACCUAAUCUAAUUUUUUCUUUUUUUGACUUGCAAAAAUAUUGCUUUAAAACAAAUAGUGUUCUUAGACAGAGGGCAAAUAUAUUUAUCUUUCCAACCAUAAUAAAAGCUGUCAGUUAUCAAGUGCCUUUUCUGUACCCAUGUGUCAGAUACUUAUAAAUCUUUCUUCAAAUUCAUUAACUUUAAUGGUUGGUUUAUUUAAUCCUCACUAUUUUAGGAGAUAGGUAUUAUUGUGUUCAUGUUAUAGUUGCUGAAAACCAAAACUCAUACAAAUUAAGUUUCUUUUCUGACUCUUAAGUAGCAGAACCACAUGGCCUUUUUAAAAAGAUCACAUAACAAAUAUUUAUUAAAUCCCCUUUGUAUUAGCAUUGUGUGUCGUGUGCUAGGAAUAAUACCAAUGAAAAAUACACUGUGGUCCCACCGCUCAAAGAAGCUUAUAUUCUAGUUGAAUGCCAUGAAGCAAAACAUUGUGAAUGUGAUGAAUCUCACAAAAGAGGAAACACAGGAUAUGAAGGGGGAGGUAAUCAGGUCUGUGGCAUCUGUCCUGUGGUCAAGACAGUUAA